ACGGUCCCUAUCCUAUAAUUUAAGUUGUUGAGGCAUCCCAACAUAGAGGGUUCCACAGUAAAGGACAGCUCAGAUGUUUCUCAUUGUGAAGUGGGAAAUUGCCAUUGACAGGCAAACAGUGUAACCUAAAACAUACCA